AGCUGCUUGAGGUUGUAGGAGCGACGCUUAAGGAGUUCUUGGCGCGUGAGGCGGGUGGCGUGUGAGAGAACCUGGUCUUGUUGGGAGGGAAUGAUCGGUGAAUUAGGAGUAGUGGAGGAAUUAGGAUUAGGGUUGGCAUUUUGGAAGUUAGUCAGCGUGCUGUUGAUGGUAGUGAGGUUAGGGUUUCUGGGUGGCCGGGAAGACGACGGCUGGUGGUGGUUCUUGGAAGCCCCAGUCAUGGCUUGGAGAGAGAGAGAGAGAGAGAGAGAGA
rnacentral:misc_RNA from 1 species